ACUCCGGUUGAUCCUGCCGGACCCGACUGCUAUCGGAUUGGGAUUUAGCCAUGUUAGUUGUGCGUUCCUUGGCUACAGGGGACGCAGCGUACGGCUCAGUAACACGUAGUCAACCUGCCCUGGAGACGCGGACAAACCCGGGAAACUGGGGCCUAUCCGCGAUAGAUGGCCUCAUCUGGAAGGAGAGGCCGUCGAAAAGGGCGCACGGGUAUGCUCUGUGCGAAUCGCUCCAGGAUGGGACUGCGGCCGAUCAGGCUGUUGGCGGGGCAAUGGCCCACCAAACCUGUAACCGGUACGGGCUUUGAGAGAAGGAGCCCGGAGAUGGACACUGAGACAAGGGUCCAGGCCCUACGGGGCGCAUCAGGCGCGAAAACUUCGCAAUGCGCGAAAGCGUGACGAGGCUAGUCCGAGUGCCGCCUGCUAAAGGUGGCUUUUCUCGGCUGUAAAUAGGCCGGGGAAUGACUGGAGGGCAAGUCUGGUGUCAGACACCGCGAUCCGCCAAGCAACUCGCCUGGCAGCGGCCACUGCUAGGUCUCCGGCGCACGUACC
rnacentral:rRNA from 1 species